rnacentral:rRNA from 1 species
AUGCAGCACCACAUCUUCCAACGGACAUCAUGUACAAGAUCCCAACACACAUCUCUGAUCCAGCCUCCCUUGCCCGCCUUGCUUCAUCCUGCAAGUUCUGGCGUGAUCUCAUCAAGGAACCCGGCCUUCCUUGAUGGCCUUAGGAGGCAGCACCGCGACCACGGCUUCACCCCAUCCCUCCUUCUCGGCUUCUUCCUCCAGGACAAGAAAAGGUCUUCCCCAGACCUCUGGAAGCAUCACAUUGACAAAACCCGCUGUUUGGCACCAAGCUUCGUGCCGAUUUCUGAAUUGUCACAAUUUGUUGGCAGCAAAUCUGCUCGCAAUGCUAUCGAGCCACUAUCCCUUGAGACCUUCAUUCCAGGUCUUGGAGCAAGCCUCAACUUCCAUAGGCCCUUUGCAUCCCAUUCCCAGGACAAUAUCCUGGUUCUUUGCCGCCAAUCAGAAGUCGACAAUGGUCAGGACACGAAGGCUGUGCUAUGUGUCUGCAAUCCUCUCACUGGUGAAACCUUUGAGAUUCCUCGCCACAUAUAUUAUGUACCUCCUAACCAUUAUGUCUUGUUUGUCACCAAUGAUGUCGACAGUUAUGCCAUUUUUUGGCUAAGAAAGGCAAAGUGUUUCGUCUCUGUGUGCUAUAGCUCAAAGACUGGAACAUGGACAAGGACCGAAGAAGAACCUGAGCUAAUGCCUGGGCUUUACUUGGUGUCAUCCUCAGCCGCUGCUUCUGGUGAUGUCAUCCAUUGGCUCUGUGGUACUUUGGAACAAAUGUCGCUCACCCACGUUGCCACAUUGCAUAUUGAAAAUAUGGGGCUGUCAUACCUGGAGCUCCCACCCGAAGCAAAGCACAUCAAGAUACCAGUGUUGGCGAAUUCAGCAGAUGGGGGAAUUCUCCUGCUCUUCAUGCAAGGCCUUGAGAUGUCACUCUGGAAACACAUCAAUGUACUUGGCAGUGACAGCAACAGUUGGGUUCUUUCUGAAAGGAUUGACAUGAGAAGUUCCUUGCCUCAGCGGGUGGCUACGCUGGGUAGCCAGGCAAAGGUCAGGUUGGAGAUGUUUGGAGGCAAGAGUGGGGUGGUGGUGCUCAGGGUUGUUGGAGAAGGCCUCUUUCUGUUCAGCUUAUCAGUGAUGAGUCGACGAGGGAGAUUGACAGUGCGCGUGUGA